rnacentral:rRNA from 1 species
UACGGAAGGCAGCAGUGGGGAAUAUUGCACAAUGGGCGCAAGCCUGAUGCAGCCAUGCCGCGUGUAUGAAGAAGGCCUUCGGGUUGUAAAGUACUUUCAGUCGUGAGGAAGGUGUUAAGGUUAAUAACCUUAGCAAUUGACGUUAGCGACAGAAGAAGCACCGGCUAACUCCGUGCCAGCAGCCGCGGUAAUACGGAGGGUGCGAGCGUUAAUCGGAAUUACUGGGCGUAAAGGGCACGCAGGCGGUUAAUUAAGUUGGAUGUGAAAUCCCCGGGCUUAACCUGGGAAUGGCAUUCAAGACUGGUUAGCUAGAGUCUUGUAGAGGGGGUAGAAUUCCGAUGUGUAGCGGUGAAAUGCGUAGAGAUGUGGAGGAAUACCGGUGGCGAAGGCGGCCCCUGGGACAAAGACUGACGCUCAUGUGCGAAAGCGUGGGGAGCAAAC